GAUGAACGCUGGCGGCGUGCCUAAUACAUGCAAGUCGAGCGAACAGAUGAGGAGCUUGCUCCUCUGACGUUAGCGGCGGACGGGUGAGUAACACGUGGAUAACCUACCUAUAAGACUGGGAUAACUUCGGGAAAACGGAGCUAAUACCGGGUAAUAUAUUGCACCGCAUGGUUCAAUAGUGAAAGACGGUUUUGCUGUCACUUAUAGAUGGAUCCGCGCCGCAUUAGCUAGUUGGUAAGGUAACGGCUUACCAAGGCAACGAUGCGUAGCCGACCUGAGAGGGUGAUCGACCAGACUGGAACUGAGACACGGUCCAGACACCUACGGGAGGCAGCAGUAGGGAAUCUUCCGCGAUGGAGCAGAGCCUGACAGAGCAACGCCGCGUGAGUGAUGAAGGUCUUCGGAUCGUAAAACUCUGUUAUUAGGGAUAAACAAAUGUGUAAGUAACUAUGCACGUCUUGACGGUACCUAAUCAGAAAGCCACGGCUAACUACGUG
rnacentral:rRNA from 1 species